rnacentral:rRNA from 1 species
UACGAAGGGGGCUAGCGUUGUUCGGAAUUACUGGGCGUAAAGCGCACGUAGGCGGCCUUGUAAGUUGGGGGUGAAAUCCCGGGGCUCAACCUCGGAAUUGCCUUCAAGACUGCAGGGCUCGAGUUCGGGAGAGGUGAGUGGAAUUCCCAGUGUAGAGGUGAAAUUCGUAGAGAUUGGGAAGAACACCAGUGGCGAAGGCGGCUCACUGGCCCGUAACUGACGCUGAGGUGCGAAAGCGUGGGGAGCAAACACG